rnacentral:lncRNA from 1 species
GGUGCCGGUGAACAAGUACAUCAGCAGGUGGACCGUCCUCAUGCUGAAGCUCUGGUCGUACGUCGACAGCGCCUUCUGGAGCUCCUUGUCGUCGAUGAACCCGCUCUUAUCCUGGUCCGCCAGCUGGAAGCACGCCACCAGGCUGGGGUCCGUCCCCGGCGGGAACUGAGACGGCAUCAGCGCCGCGAACGGGUUCCCGUACGGCGACCCCCCCGGCGCCGGCGGGUAUGCGACGACCGGCGGUGGCGGGGCGGCUCCGUAGGGGUCCUGGGGCGGCGCGCCGUAGGGAGCGGAAGGAGCGCCGUAGGGCUGCUGCCCGUACGGUGGCUGCGGCGGCGUUCCGUAGCCGUAGUUCGGCGGCGCGUUGGGGUAUCCGGCCAUUUUGAUUGCGAGAGUUCACGCGAGCGGAGAGUUUCUGUCGAGAGCUGUCGCGACCGUCGUGCUUGGACAGUGAAAGGUAGCGUUCGACCCAAAAAAAAGGGAGCGUUCCUGAUUGGGGGAUUAGGCUCGUGAUAAGGGAUUAUUACGGUUGUGCCACUCACACGUGAAUUGCAUUUUUACUUGGUGGGUCCGGUCAACGCGUUUUCUAAGACAUCGAUAUAUACGCUAAUUAAAUGAAAUAAUUUUCAUAUAUAAGAAAAUUGACCUAAAGUCGUAGAUCACAGGCGUGAAAUUUAUUAGGCACAAAUUAUUAGAUACUUGUAUGCGAUUUACUAAUCCCUUUUCAUCUUUUAAUUAUUACAAAUUGCGUACAAGUUAAAGCGGUCAACUAGUUUUUAAGCAUAAAAUUGAUCCAACUUGAGAAUGUUUAAAUAUAAAUGAAUAAGAUUUACCAUGUAAAAUUUCUUUCCACCGCCCAUGUGUAAUAUGUAUUUAGUAUAUGUAUUUUCUUUAAUACUUUUUUGUGUUUAGUAUGAAUUAGGUAUAUACAUUUUUAAGAUAAGUGUAAUAAAAAUCCUAAAACUUGUCACAAAAAUGCAAUUGAGUUCUAAAAUUUGCAAAAAAUACAAUCAAAUUUUAAAAUUUAUCAAAUUAUUUCAAUCGAGUCUUAAAGUUAACGCCGUCAACUUUUUUAAAGGAAAAUCCUGACAUGACUCGAACAUGGCAUUUUAAAUAAUUUUUCAUUUUUCACAUGGUUUUUUUAAUUAAUUUUUAUUCAAUUUAAAAAAAAUAGUUUGUAAAGAAAAGCUAAAAUUUAUUUUUUAAAUUAGUAAAAAAAAAAGGCAGCUCCUUCCUCGCUGGCCCCUCUAGCAACCGUCACUAGCCCCUCUAGUGAUGGGCAGCGGUAAAGGAAGCACUGGCCUUUUUUUUUCUUUUUUUUUUAGAAUUUUUUUUUAAAAUAAAUUUUAACUUUUCUUUUCUAGUUUUUAAAUUUAAUUUAAAUUUUAAAAAAUUAAAAAAAUCACAUGAAAAAUAAAAAUUAAUUUUAAAUGCCACGUCAGCAUUUUCCGUUAAAAAAAGUUAACGGUGUUAACUUUAUGACUCAAUUAAAAUAAUUUAACAAGUUUUAGGAUUUGAUUUUUUUUUUUGUAAGUUUUAGAACUCAAUUAUAUUUUCGUGACAAGUUUUAAGAUUUCUAUUAUGCUUAUCCCUACAUUUUUCUAGUAGCUACUUUGGUUGCAACGAGGGUUGUUGCCCCUUUUCAAGGUGUUAAGCAAACACUACAACAUAAAAAAAAAUUCCCAAAACUUUGAGAUGCUACAAUUUUAAAUUAUGUAUCACUAAACUUAGUAAAUCACAACAUGUCACACUAGGGUUACAACACAAACAGUUACAUUAGUUAACCAUCAUACCAAACAAAGUCAUUAGUCAAAAAUAUUUCAGCUAAAAUUUACAAAAUUGGGUCAUAAUCAGAGCAAAUUCAUUUCAAUUGAGCUAGUAAAACUUAUAUAAUGGCCAUUGAGGAAUAUCUUGUGCAAAAUUGCAUUUUUGCCCCUUAAUUGGGAAUAUUAGAAAGUGAAUUUGUAGCUUUGACCAAAUUCUUCAUGAUGUUGCAUAGGUAGUCCUUUGAGUCGGCUUUCGCACACAGGACCAAGGGACUAAGGUGUGUUUGGAAAGGCUUUUGAAAAAAGUUCUUGAGAAAAUGUAAAGACCUUUUUAGGUUAAAGGAGUUUUUCAAAAUACAAAGUGUGUUUGGUAAAUUUAUUUGUGAAAGUCCAUUGUGAAGUAUCUUUGUGCAAAAUAGUGUUUGGGUAAAUUAAAUUUGCAAAAGACUUUUGUUAUUAAAAAAAAAAAGAAAAAAAAUGAGAGUUAGCCGGCUAAGGGCUUCGCCAGUUACCGCUGACUAAAGGCUUCGCUGGUUAUCGCCGGCUACCGCUGGCAAAGGGUAGGUGGUCUAGCGAGGGGGAGGUGGUGCAGCGAAGGGUAGCGUUCGACUAGGGUCACAGUGCAGAGGACACAGCGCGGUUGCCGAUGACCCACGUGACCUCCACGACCUCCGUGGCCCAGAUCUGGGCCGCAACAAUGUUGUGGGUGGCCUAGGUCACCAUGACCUCCAGCGACCUCCGUGACCUCCGGCGACUUUCGCGACCCAAAUCUGGAUCAUGAUGAGGUCGUGGGUCACUGGAGGUUGUAGUGACCAACCUCGCUACGACCUAGUGCGACUAGUCAACGACGGUUGCCGAGGUGCCGCGAUCACAUCGGCCUCUCUCCAGCCCGUCGCCGUCCCAUCGCAACCUCAUCGGCCGACAUAUGAGAAUCUGACAAAGAAGAAGAUGAACAGUGCAUUGGGCCUUCCGAAAAUGCUAAAAACCCAAAACAACCUAGCACCUCUUUGGAAGGCCAGCAUUUGCAGGUUUUAAAAAUGUUCCCAAACUCCCAAUAUUUGAGCAAAUGGGCUUUGGAUACCGGCAAAGCUAGUCCCAAAUGCAGCCCAAAUAUACCUUCCUUUUUUUUGUGAAAGGUUUGCUACAAGUAUACUUAUCAAGAUGUCUUGGUUAAUUUUUUGUAACGAAUUAUUGAAGUAGCAAUAAAGUUCAAUAAACCACUGGGGGUUCGCCCCAGUGGCCACCCUUCCAAGUUUGGAAGGGGGAGGUGGGAGUUCAAAUCUCCACCUUCUCAGGGGGGAUUGGGGUGGGGAUUUCAUUUCAGAAGUGGGUUUCGACUCCCACGCCUUGUAAGGAGGUAGUGCAAAAGUCUGAAAGUGAGUGUUAGGCUCCGUUCGUUUCGCGGAAAAUAACUUCCAGGAAAAUAUUUUCCAUAUUUUCCGGUGUUCGGAUGGGCGCUCUCUCUUGCUCUCCCUGCUGCGAAGUCGGCUUCGACGACGUCCUUCUCCGGGACCAGCCUCCGCCCUCCCUGGCCGCUCUUGCCCGCCUGCUCCAGCCGGGGCGCUCCGCUUCCCCGGCGGCUUGAAGCCGCUCGGGAGGAUCCGGCUCAAGAGGGAGCUCCGCGGCGGCGCCGGGAGGCUCGCGGGGAGCCCGCCGUCCAGGCCGCUCGUCGUGCGGUGGCGAGCCGUGAACUCGUCGGAUUUGGCGGGGAGCUCGCGGCUCGCCGGAUCUAGCGGCAGAGCUCGGGCUCCCGAUCCAGGCGAGCUCGAGCUCUGUCGCCAGAUCCGGCGAGCUCGGGUGAGAUCGGCCGAGCCUCGAACUCGCCGGAUCUGGCGGCCGAGCUCGCGGCUCGCCGGAUCUGGCGGCCGAGCUCGCGGCUCGCCGGAUCCAGGCGAGCUCGAGCUCUGUCGCCAGAUCCGGCGAGCUCGGGUGAGAUCGGCCGAGCCUCGAGCUCGCCGGAUUUGGCCACCGGGUCUUGGUCGGCGCUGGGCAGCCGGCCAUCGUCAAGCAGGAAGGAGGCGGCGGCAGCGGAAGGAGGAGGAAGAAGGAGGAGGAAGGAGGCGACGGCGGACGAAGCCGCUCGGGAGGAUUCGGGAGGAAGAAGGAGGAGGAAGGAGGAAGGAAAAAAGAAAGAAAUAAUAAAUAAUAAAAAUUUCUAUUUUAAAAAAUAUAAAUAAUUAAAAAUAUUAAAAUUCAAUUUUUGAUAAUUUUUUUCAGGAAAAUGUUUGAGCUAACGAACAAUGGAAAAUAUUUUCCACUCAAAUUUUAGAUUUUGGCCGAACACCGGAAAAUAGAGUCAUUUUCCUGGAAAAUAACUUCCAGAAAAAUGUUUUCCGGAAACAUGAUAUUUUCCAUGAAACGAACGGAGCCUUAGAGUAGGAUUAGAGUAGGACCGACCAAAAUUAAUAAAUAAAGUUCAAUAAUUAAGUAUAAUAAUUUUUCAAAAAUCUUGUAAUUCAAAUUGUCACAAUAUAUAUUAUACAAGCUUUUCUCGUUCGCUGAAAAAUUAAAAGUGCAAGCGUAAUCGCAUCGUUUUUUUAGAUUCUAUAACAACAAAUAUGGAAAGUUUUUACAUACUUCAAGGAAAACAAAGUGUUAUAGAAUGCGUUAAUUCUUUUGGCAGGAAAAUAUUAUUGGAUCUAGUUCUUUAAAUGUAUUAAUCGCCGCCAAUCCAAAAGAUGGUCGAGUGUAACGGCGCCGUUUCGCCGGUAGACUUCCAGUAGGGACAGGUUAUGGGAUCGCUUUCGCGGGCUCAUCGCAAAGACCCAAAAACGCGCGUCGUCGCGGGUAAGACAGAGCAAGAACAAAGCGAAACCCUUCAAACCCCAAAUCGAACAGCUAAACGCAACGCAACGCAACGCAACGCACAUCGUUCGCAACCCUCGCGAUCGAUCGAUCGAGGCACGAAUCGACUGGAGAGAGAUGGGGAAAUAGGACUCACCGAUCUUCCUCGCGUUGGUGUUGGUGAACAGGUACAUCAGCAGGUGGACCGUCCUCAAGCUGAAGCUCUGGUUGUACGUCGACAGCGCCCGCUGCAGCUCCUUGUCGUCGAUGAACCCGCUCCGGUCCAAGUCCGCCAUCUGGAAGCUCGCCACCAGGCUCGGGUCCGUCCCCGGCGGGAACUGCGACGGCAUCAGCGCCGCGAACGGGUUCCCG